rnacentral:rRNA from 1 species
CCUACGGGAGGCAGCAGUGGGGAAUAUUGCACAAUGGGGGAAACCCUGAUGCAGCGACGCCGCGUGAGUGAAGAAGUAAUUCGGUAUGUAAAGCUCUAUCAGCAGGGAAGAAAAUGACGGUACCUGAGUAAGAAGCCCCGGCUAACUACGUGCCAGCAGCCGCGGUAAUACGUAGGGGGCAAGCGUUAUCCGGAUUUACUGGGUGUAAAGGGAGCGUAGACGGGAGUGCAAGUCUGGAGUGAAAGGCGGGGGCUCAACCCCCGGACUGCUCUGGAAACUGGACGGCUGGAGUGCAGGAGAGGUAAGUGGAAUUCCUAGUGUAGCGGUGAAAUGCGUAGAUAUUAGGAGGAACACCAGUGGCGAAGGCGGCUUACUGGACUGUAACUGACGUUGAGGCUCGAAAGCGUGGGGAGCAAACAGGAUUAGAUACCCCAGUAGUC